AUCGUAACGACAUCAUUCAUGUAUUGAUAAACAAUACGGCAACUAACAAAAUUCAAGGCAUUGCCUUAAGCAUGGCAAAACUUGAAAAGGCGGAUUGGAAUUGUGAAGCAUUCUCUAAGAUGAUUAACCUGAAAUUUCUUGAAGUUGAUAAUGUGAUCAUUUCCUCGAUCCCCAGAAUUCUUCCUAAUUCCUUAAGAAUUAUGAAAUGGAAUUGGUAUUCUUCCAAAUAUCUCCCAUCAAAUUUUCAACCGAAUAAAC